rnacentral:rRNA from 1 species
UGGGGAAUUUUGGACAAUGGGCGAAAGCCUGAUCCAGCAAUGCCGCGUGUGUGAAGAAGGCCUUCGGGCUGUAAAGCACUUUUGUCCGGAAAGAAAUCCUUGGCUCUAAUACAGUCGGGGGAUGACGGUACCGGAAGAAUAAGCACCGGCUAACUACGUGCCAGCAGCCGCGGUAAUACGUAGGGUGCAAGCGUUAAUCGGAAUUACUGGGCGUAAAGCGUGCGCAGGCGGUUUGCUAAGACCGAUGUGAAAUCCCCGGGCUCAACCUGGGAACUGCAUUGGUGACUGGCAGGCUAGAGUAUGGCAGAGGGGGGUAGAAUUCCACGUGUAGCAGUGAAAUGCGUAGAGAUGUGGAGGAAUACCGAUGGCGAAGGCAGCCCCCUGGGCCAAUACUGACGCUCAUGCACGAAAGCGUGGGGAGCAAACAGGAUUAGAUACCCUGGUAGUCCAGCGCCUUAAACGAUGUCAACUAGUUGUUGGGGAUUCAUUCCUUAGUAACGUAGCUAACGCGUGAAGUUGACCGCCUGGGGAGUACGGUCGCAAGAUUAAAAC